rnacentral:rRNA from 1 species
CGAUCAUACCAGCACUAAAGCACCGGAUCCCAUCAGAACUCCGAAGUUAAGCGUGCUUGGGGGUGAGAGUAGUACUAGGAUGGGUGACCUCCUAGGAAGUCUCCGUAGUUG